rnacentral:rRNA from 1 species
CAAUACACUAGUGGCGCACGGGUGCGUAACGCGUAACCAACCUACCCAGAACCGGGGGAUAGCCCGCCGAAAGGCGGAUUAAUACCGCAUAAGACCACAGAGCGGCAUCGUUUAGUGGUUAAAGAUUUAUUGGUUUUGGAUGGGGUUGCGUGCCAUUAGCUGGUUGGGGGGGUAACGGCCCACCAAGGCGACGAUGGCUAGGGGAGCUGAGAGGCUGGUCCCCCACACGGGCACUGAGAUACGGGCCCG